GCCGAAAUAAGAAAAGCUCAGUUGGGAGAGCGUUAGACUGAAGAUCUAAAGGUACCUGGUUCAAUCGGGUUUUCGGCA
rnacentral:tRNA from 1 species